rnacentral:rRNA from 1 species
GACGAACGCUGGCGGCGUGCUUAACACAUGCAAGUCGAACGGAAAGGCCCUGCUUUUGUGGGGUGCUCGAGUGGCGAACGGGUGAGUAACACGUGAGUAACCUGCCCUUGACUUUGGGAUAACUUCAGGAAACUGGGGCUAAUACCGGAUAGGAGCUCCUGCUGCAUGGUGGGGGUUGGAAAGUUUCGGCGGUUGGGGAUGGACUCGCGGCUUAUCAGCUUGUUGGUGGGGUAGUGGCUUACCAAGGCUUUGACGGGUAGCCGGCCUGAGAGGGUGACCGGCCACGUUGGGACUGGGAUACGGCCCAGACUCCUACGGGAGGCAGCAGUGGGGAAUAUUGCACAAUGGGCGGAAGCCUGAUGCAGCAACGCCGCGUGCGGGAUGACGGCCUUCGGGUUGUAAACCGCUUUCGCCUGUGACGAAGCGUGAGUGACGGUAAUGGGUAAAGAAGCACCGGCUAACUACGUG